ACCGGGCGCGGUGGCGCGUGCCUGUAGUCCCAGCUACUCGGGAGGCUGAGUUGGGAGGAUCGCUUGAGCCCAGGAGUUCUGGGCUGUAGUGCGCUCUGCCGAUCGGGUGUCCGCACUAAGUUCGGCAUCAAUACGGUGACCUCCCGGGAGCGGGGGACCACCCCGUAAGGAGGGGUGAACCGGCCCAGCUUGGAAACGGAGCAGGUCAAAACUCCCGUGCUGAUCAGUAAUGGGAUCGCGCCUGUGAAUAGCCACUGCACUCCAGCCUGGGCAACAUAGCGAGACGACCGCCCC
rnacentral:SRP_RNA from 1 species